rnacentral:rRNA from 1 species
GACGUAGGGUGCGAGCGUUGUCCGGAUUUAUUGGGCGUAAAGAGCUCGUAGGCGGCCUGUCGCGUCGACUGUGAAAACCCGCAGCUUAACUGCGGGACUGCAGUCGAUACGGGCAGGCUAGAGUUCGGUAGGGGAGACUGGAAUUCCUGGUGUAGCGGUGAAAUGCGCAGAUAUCAGGAGGAACACCGGUGGCGAAGGCGGGUCUCUGGGCCGAUACUGACGCUGAGGAGCGAAAGCGUGGGGAGCGAACAGG